CACUCUUAAGGGUAGGAUGUCACAAUUACACAGUUUUGUCUCACCAACAGUUCAGCACCAUGUGCAGGAAGUUCCCCCCUACUAGGAAGCACAGAGGUGGCAGUUAUUUAUCUUCAGAAUGCAGCCUGCUCUACAAACACCUGUCCAGGAAUGUGUCCAAUCUCUGUUCCACUGUGUAGCUUUGUGUCCCAACAGCAUCUCUGUGCUGUCAACUCUGAUAAACUACUGAGAGAGAAGUCCCUCAAAAUUGGUGGAGGGGAUAAAAACCAGAAAUGUACGAAAGUUAAA